AAUGAACGCUGGCGGCGUGCUUAACACAUGCAAGUCGAGCGCGAAAGCGGCUUCGGCCGCAAGUAGAGCGGCGAACGGGUGAGUAACGCGUGGGUGACCUGCCUGGGAAUGGGGGAUAACCUGGGGAAACUCGGGCUAAUACCGCAUACGUUCCCGGGGCUUCGGCUCCGGGAGGAAAGAUGGCCUCUGCUUGCAAGCCAUUGUUCCCAGAGGGGCCCGCGUCCGAUUAGCUAGUUGGUGGGGUAACGGCCCACCAAGGCGACGAUCGGUAGCCGGCCUGAGAGGGUGUUCGGCCACACUGGAACUGAGACACGGUCCAGACUCCUACGGGAGGCAGCAGUGGGGAAUAUUGGACAAUGGGGGAAACCCUGAUCCAGCAACGCCGCGUGGGGGAUGAAGGUCUUCGGAUCGUAAACCCCUGUCAGGAGGGGCGAAGGCUUGUCGGCGAACAGUCGGCAAGCUUGACGGUACCUCCGGAGGAAGCCACGGCUAACUCUGUGCCAGCAGCCGCCGUAAAAC
rnacentral:rRNA from 1 species